GAGUCCUCCCUCCUUUUCUCGGGAGCCCCUCCUUCCUUCCCUCCCUCCUCCUCUCCCUCUUUCCCAAUCCCCCUCUCUCUCCUUCAGCACCGCGGACAGCGGCGGCGGAGGCGAUGGGCAGCAGCAGCAGCAUCAGCAUCAGCAGCCGCCUGCUCCGGGUCCCAAUGGCCGGCUGAGCGCUGUCCGGAGGGUCGGGGUCCGGGGCCCGUCGGGGGCCUCCGCGGGGCGGCCAUGCGGCUGCUGCUGCUGGGGGUGCUGGUGUGGUUCUCGCUGGCCAGGGCCGGGUGCGAGCCCAAAGUGGUGAACCUCGGGGCGGUGCUGAGCACCAAGAAGCACGAGGCCGUCUUCCGCGAGGCAGUGGCCCAGGCCAACAAGCGCCACGGCGCCUGGAAGAUCCAGCUCAACGCCACCUCCGUCACCCACAAGCCCAACGCCAUCCAGAUGGCCCUCUCCGUCUGCGAGGACCUCAUCUCCAGCCAGGUCUACGCCAUCUUAGUGAGUCACCCACCGGCUCCAAAUGACCACCUCACGCCAACGCCUGUCUCCUACACAGCCGGAUUCUAUAGGAUACCAGUCAUUGGGCUGACCACGCGCAUGUCCAUAUAUUCGGAUAAGAGCAUCCACUUGUCCUUCCUGCGCACGGUCCCCCCUUAUUCCCACCAGUCCAAUGUCUGGUUUGAAAUGAUGCGCUUUUACAAGUGGAACCACAUCAUACUCAUCGUCAGCGAUGAUCAUGAGGGGCGAGCGGCCCAGAAGAAACUGGAGACCCUCUUAGAAGAGAAAGAAUCAAAGAGUAAAAAAAGGAACUAUGACAGCCUCGAACAACUAUCCUAUGACAACAAGCGAGGACCCAAGGCUGAGAAGGUGCUCCAGUUUGAACCCGGGACAAAAAAUGUCACUUCGCUGCUCUUGGAAGCUAAGGAACUGGAGGCUCGGGUUAUCAUCCUCUCCGCCAGUGAGGAUGAUGCCACCACCGUCUACACGGCUGCAGCGAAAGAGAACAUGACUGGUCCCGGCUACGUGUGGCUUGUGGGGGAGAGGGAGAUCUCGGGCAAUGCCCUGCGCAGUGCCCCAGAAGGACUGAUUGGCUUGCAGCUCAUGAAUGGGAAGAACGAGUCUGCUCACAUCAGGGAUGCGGUGGCAGUGGUGGCCCAGGCCGUCCAUGACCUCUUUGAGAAGGAGAAUAUCACAGACCCACCGAGGGGCUGUGUGGGCAACACCAACAUCUGGAAGACUGGCCCGCUCUUCAAGAGGGUGCUCAUGCAGACCAAGUAUGCGGAUGGUGUGACAGGCAGAGUGGAGUUCAAUGAGGAUGGGGAUAGGAAAUAUGCCAACUACAGUGUCAUGAACCUACAGAAUAACAAACUGGUGCAAGUCGGAGUCUACAAUGGUAGCCACUUUCUGCCCAACGACCGCAAGAUCAUCUGGCCUGGAGGAGAGACAGAGACGCCGCAGGGCUAUGAAAUGUCUACAAAACUAAAGAUUGUCACCAUUCACCAAGAGCCGUUUGUCUAUGUGAAGCCGACCCAGUUAGACGGGAAGUGUGAAGCGCGCCACAACAGCACCGGGGGGUUGGUGCAGCAGGUCCUCUGCACUGGGCCAAACGAGACCAUGCCAGGCCGCCCCAGUGUGAUGUUGUGUUGUUACGGAUUCUGCAUUGACUUACUCAUCAAGCUCGCCAAGACAAUGAAUUUCACCUAUGAAGUUCACCUGGUGGCCGAUGGCAAAUUUGGAACCCAAGAGCGGGUGAACAACAGCAACAAGAAGGAGUGGAACGGGAUGAUGGGUGAGCUGCUGAGUGGCCAGGCCGACAUGAUUGUAGCCCCACUGACCAUUAACAACGAGCGGGCACAGUACAUCGAAUUCUCCAAGCCCUUCAAGUAUCAGGGACUCACCAUCCUGGUCAAAAAGGAAAUUCCCCGCAGCACGCUGGACUCGUUCAUGCAGCCAUUCCAGAGCACUCUGUGGCUCUUAGUGGGGCUCUCGGUGCACGUGGUGGCUGUGAUGCUAUACCUCCUGGACCGCUUCAGCCCGUUUGGCCGAUUUAAAGUGAACAGCGAAGAAGAGGAAGAGGAUGCUCUGACACUCUCUUCUGCCAUGUGGUUUUCCUGGGGAGUCCUGCUGAACUCUGGCAUUGGAGAAGGCGCUCCUCGGAGUUUCUCAGCUCGAAUCCUUGGAAUGGUGUGGGCUGGAUUUGCCAUGAUUAUCGUUGCCUCCUACACUGCCAACCUGGCUGCCUUCCUGGUGUUGGACAGACCGGAGGAACGAAUCACUGGCAUCAAUGACCCCAGGCUGCGAAACCCUUCUGACAAGUUCAUCUAUGCCACUGUGAAGCAGAGUUCUGUAGACAUUUACUUCCGGCGGCAGGUGGAGCUGAGCACUAUGUACCGGCACAUGGAGAAACACAAUUAUGAGAGCGCCGCAGAAGCCAUCCAGGCUGUCCGGGACAACAAGCUCCAUGCAUUCAUCUGGGACUCAGCUGUACUGGAGUUUGAAGCUUCACAGAAGUGUGACCUGGUGACAACGGGGGAGCUCUUCUUCCGCUCUGGCUUUGGCAUCGGGAUGCGCAAGGACAGCCCCUGGAAGCAGAACGUCUCUCUGGCCAUCCUCAACCUCCACGAGAACGGCUUCAUGGAAGAGCUUGACAAGACCUGGGUGAGGUAUCAGGAGUGUGACUCCCGCAGCAAUGCCCCAGCGACCCUCACUUUUGAGAACAUGGCAGGUGUAUUCAUGCUGGUGGCUGGAGGUAUUGUGGCCGGGAUAUUUUUAAUAUUCAUAGAAAUAGCAUACAAAAGGCAUAAAGACGCCCGGAGGAAGCAGAUGCAACUGGCGUUUGCGGCUGUUAAUGUGUGGCGGAAAAACCUGCAGUCCUCUCUCUCUCUUGUGGCCGUAGGAUUCACCUUCAGAAAAGGCCCCGAGCAUUUUUAUUUAGUGGAUAGAAAAAGUGGUAGAGCAGAACCAGACCCUAAAAAGAAAGCCACUUUUAGGUCCAUCACCUCUACCCUGGCCUCCAGCUUCAAGAGACGUAGGUCAUCCAAAGAUACGACAGCCCCGAGAUGCCAUCACGCCCAGAAUCCGUGAGCUGCAGAUAAGCCGCCGGUAGAGAAAGCCCGGCCUCAGGAGCGGCUCAGCACAGGCAGUAUCACCCUACAGACAUCACUGGGCAGCUCAACCUCUCCGACCCCUCGGUCAGCACCGUGGUGUGACAUCUGGGCGCCACUCCCGCUGGCCGCAGGCUCCAGAGGAAUAGACCAAUGGAGACUCUGAUGGGUCCCUCCUGGAGACACCAAAGCAAGGCCUUUGCCACCCAUCCACAGCGUCUGCAUUGCUUUCUUCCCACUUGGCCAGGAUGAGGUCCCCUUCUUUUUGAUACUCCUGGGAUGAACCACACGAACAUGAGGCCUUGGAGCAGCCAGCCCCCUUCUUUGCCCCCUUCUUCUUCCGGAGCUGGGAGGUCUCUGGUUAUUUCUCUUUGUGACAUCAAGAGACACAGGGAUGGUGGUCCCGAAUGGCACGCCGACCAGGCCGAGGGUAGGCUGCGUGUUCUCGAAAGCGGAAUGGAUUUCCUUUGCAAUAGGGAAAGAUUCUCUUUAUCAGACCUGCAUGCUCUGACCCUCCUCCACCUCCACUGCCACCUCACCCCCAUUUUCUUUCGCCACAUCGGAAGAGGAAGACCCCCAGUGCUCAUGGGUGAUCAUGUACAUAGCCCUCCAUAUCUAUCUCCAUCCGUGCGUCAGCCGGAGAGAAGGGUUUGGUGAUGUGACGCAUGUUCAGCUCUCUGGCUCUUGCUAGGAUGGUCCUGCCCACAAGAAAUUGUUGUUCUUCCCACAAGAAGCAUCCGUUGCCCCCUUCCCUGCUGUCCACAUUGUGGGCCAUUUGUGAACGGGGACUUUGUCUAUUUCCCUCUCCACAGCCUGAUAAAGGAGCAUGUUCAGCAGGGUAGGCAAUGGGAUGAGAAAUGGAGAAGAAGGCCUCUCCGCCGCUCCUCCUUUCUGGCAUCUGGCCUCCAAAUUCAGCCGCAGUGAGUCCAGCUGUCUGGACACAAAUGCAAGCUGGCAGCAUUGCACCAACCUCCCCCUGCUCCCCUCCCUGAAAAGCUUUGCCUGCCCCAAUGAUGGCCAUCCAUUUCCUUUGGAAGCCCCUCAGAUGUGUCUGUUAUCAGCCCCUAAAGGCAAGGGAUAGCAAGUCUGGCAGGUGUGACUUUGCCAUUUGCCGGUGGGUAGCGCCCCCUGCAGGUGGCCAUGCCCAAAAGGACAGUGUCAGGAUGCCCUCCAUUCUGGGAAGUGGCAUGAUGAUCAGUGGGCUGCCUUGGAUAAAGCUCCCAUUGAUGAAGGCCUUGGCGCAUGAGUGGAUGACUUCUCUGGCGACUGCCAUUCAUGAGGCCCUAGGAGCCAGGAGGUAGCGGGCGGCCCCAGCCCCCUUUAGUCCCCUUGCUCUGCUCAGGGCCAGGGCCAGGGAAGGGGCCAUGGCCCCAGGGCCCUCUGCAGUUUGGGAACUGUGGUCCUGGCCAAGCAGCAGGGACUCUUGGGAGGAGGGUGGAGGGGGACCAUCGCAGGACGCAUCAGAGCAAGUGGCCAUUCUGAUCCAUCUGGGAAUCUCUCAGGAGAGAAACAGGAGGCAGCACUUCAUCCAGAUUUAGAUUGGAUUAUUGUUAAAGUUUGUUUAUAUAGCUUCCGUUACAUUCAGGACUCCAGAGGUGUUAGGUAUCACACUGAAAGAACUGGGUUUAGUGCCCAUUUCUGGCAGCCUUGAAAACCCAUUAUGGUUUCAAUGAACCAGACCUACUUUUUCAUUUCAGUGUCGUUUCUGUGUAAAAUGGCAAAAAAAAAUCUGGCCAGGGUACCUUUUUAGCAAGCCACCUGAACUGAGAGCUGGGCAGCCGCUGAAGCUCAAAGCAGUUGAGCGAAGGAGGCCCCAUCGCACCACACACAAAACAAGGCUUCCUGCUUUUCUGAGUAGCUUCCCUGCCUUUCCUCCUUGUCAUUCACCUCCUCCUCUUCCUCCUCUGCUGGUGGUAUGUCCUAGAUCACAGCUAGUCUGGAACACAUACCCAAGAGGUAGACCCAUGGGUUAAGCACUGUCCCCUAAGACACAGCUGAAUCCCACAACCAGGGGGCCUUUUGCCCCCUCCCCACCCACCCUUCUGCUCCAGUUUGCCAUCUGCCUCCUGCUUCAGAAAUGGGUUGGGGGCUGAUGGAGUUCACGGUGCAAUGCUGUCCCUCCGCUUAGAAGCAAGUCCCAUGUGCUGAGUGGGGCUUACUCCCAGGUGGAGAAGGAUGAGGCUGCAGCCCCAGGCAGGACUUUUUAGUAAGUGUGUGAUCUGGAACGUGGGUUCUUCUGUACAUAGACGUGGGUGUGUAUGUGUGGAAUUUUUAACUGGGCAUCAGCAUCCAAUUAUUAUGAACAAUAACCAUAUUUAUUUACAGUUGUACUGUGCGUUUUUGUAAGAGCUAACGGGUAUUCUUCAAUGAACUUCAUAUGCCAACAGGA